UACGAGGGGGGCAAGCGUUGUUCGGAAUUAUUGGGCGUAAAGGGCGCGUAGGCGGUGCGGUAAGUCACCUGUGAAAUCUCUGGGCUCAACUCAGAGUCUGCAGGCGAAACUGCCGUGCUGGAGUAUGGGAGAGGUGCGUGGAAUUCCCGGUGUAGCGGUGAAAUGCGCAGAUAUCGGGAAGAACACCCGUGGCGAAGGCGGCUCUCUGGAACGCAACUGACGCUGAGACGCGAAAGCGUGGGGAGCAAACAGG
rnacentral:rRNA from 1 species